rnacentral:rRNA from 1 species
CCUACGCGAGGCAGCAGUGGGGAAUAUUGGCCAAUGGGCGCAAGCCUGGUCCAGCCAUACCGCGUGGGUGAAAAAGGCCUUCGGGUUGUAAAGCCCUUUUGUUGGGAAAGAAAUCCUGUCGAUUAAUACUCGGUGGGGAUGACGGUACCCAAAGAAUAAGCACCGGCUAACUUCGUGCCAGCAGCCGCGGUAAUAGAAGGGUGCAAGCGUUACUCGGAAUUACUGGGCGUAAAGCGUGCGUAGGUGGUGGUUUAAGUCUGCUGUGAAAGCCCUGGGCUCAACCUGGGAAUUGCAGUGGAUACUGGAUCACUAGAGUGUGGUAGACGGCUGCGGAAUUUCUGGUGUAGCAGUGACAUGCGUAGAGACAGAAGGAACUCCGUGGCGAAGGCGGCUCCUGGGCCAACACUGACAUGAGGCAGAAAGCGUGGGGAGCAAACAGAUUAGAUACCCUGGUAGUCCACGCCCUAAACGUUGCGAACUGGAUGUUGGGUGCAACUUGGCACCCAGUUCGUAAGCUCAACGGCAAUAAAUUCGCCGCCCGGGCCCUAGGGGCACUCGAAUCGCACU